rnacentral:rRNA from 1 species
AUUGAACGCUGGCGGAAUGCUUUACACAUGCAAGUCGAACGGCAGCACGGACUUCGGUCUGGUGGCGAGUGGCGAACGGGUGAGUAAUACAUCGGAACGUGCCCAGUCGUGGGGGAUAACGUAGCGAAAGCUACGCUAAUACCGCAUACGAUCUAAGAAUGAAAGCGGGGGGUCGCAAGGCCUCCCGCGAUUGGAGCGGCCGAUGGGAGAUGAGGUAGUUGGUGGGGUAAAGGCCUACCAAGCCGACGAUCUGUAGCUGGUCUGAGAGGAUGAUCAGCCACACUGGGACUGAGACACGGCCCAGACUCCUACGGGAGGCAGCAGUGGGGAAUUUUGGACAAUGGGCGCAAGCCUGAUCCAGCCAUUCCGCGUGCAGGAUGAAGGCCUUCGGGUUGUAAACUGCUUUUGUACAGAACGAAAAGGCUCUGGUUAAUACCCGGGGCUCAUGACGGUACUGUAAGAAUAAGCACCGGCUAACUACGUGCCAGCCGCCGCGGUAA